UACAAUUUGGUUUAUCCAGAUGUGUAAAAACUAGGAGAAAGGUGUAGAAAGCACCAGCAUAACAAUGUGAAACCAGGCUUUGAAAAGAGAAAUAGCUCAGGAUCACAGAAACCAACCUCUGGAAGAGCUAGGAGUUAUAUCUCCUGAAUUGCACUAUAGUAUACUAAGCACAGUAUUCUCUUUCCUCCCCUGCUGUCAUUUUGUGAUGUAAAAUAUUCAAUUGCUGACCACACAUAUACAGCAAACUGACCCAUCGCUUUCCGGGGAAAAUUACCAAGCAGAAAAGAAAUGUUCAGACAUCCAAAGAAUUGUAAAAUCAAAGCUCUUAUGCCCUUUUCUCCUGCCAGGAUUAAAACGGGAUGGAUGAUGGUGUCUGUGGGAAGCAUGGCAUGAGGUGAAGGGAAGAAAGGAAAACCCCAGAAGAUGGGAAGACAGCCAAGCUUUAGAAAGCUUUUUUUUUUUUUUUUUUUUUUUUUUUUUAAUGAAACAAUUAAAUAGAGAAGAUUUAAAAAUAAUUUGACUGUUGCAUUGCAGCUCCAGUUUCUUUCCUGGGAAAAGUGAAUUAACUUCAAAUGCUGAACAUUG
rnacentral:lncRNA from 1 species